rnacentral:rRNA from 1 species
AGAGUUUGAUCCUGGCUCAGAAUGAACGCUGGCGGCGUGCCUAACACAUGCAAGUCGAACGAGAAAGGGGGAUUCGUCCCCCGAGUAAAGUGGCGCACGGGUGAGUAACGCGUGGGUGACCUGCCCUGGAAUUUGGGAUAACACUGCGAAAGUGGUGCUAAUACCGGAUACGAUCCUUCAGUGAUGGAGGGUGAAAGUCGGCCUCUCGAAGAAGCUGAUGUUCUGGGAUGGGCUCGCGUCCUAUCAGCUAGUUGGUAGGGUAAUGGCCUACCAAGGCGACGACGGGUAGCUGGUCUGAGAGGAUGAUCAGCCACACUGGCACUGAAACACGGGCCAGACUCCUACGGGAGGCAGCAGUGAGGAAUUUUGCGCAAUGGGGGAAACCCUGACGCAGCAACGCCGCGUGGGUGAAGAAGGCCUUCGGGUCGUAAAGCCCUGUCAGGUGGGAAGAAUGUCCCCAGGGUGAACAAUUUUGGGGAGUGACGGUACCACCAGAGGAAGCACCGGCUAACUCCGUGCCAGCAGCCGCGGUAAUACGGAGGGUGCGAGCGUUGUUCGGAAUCAUUGGGCGUAAAGGGCGUGCAGGCGGUUGGGUAAGUCUGAUGUGAAAGCCCGGGGCUCAACCCCGGAAGUGCAUUGGAAACUGUCCGACUUGAGUACCGGAGAGGAUGGGGGAAUUCCCGGUGUAGAGGUGAAAUUCGUAGAGAUCGGGAGGAAUACCAGUGGCGAAGGCGCCCAUCUGGACGGAUACUGACGCUGAGACGCGAAAGCGUGGGGAGCAAACAGGAUUAGAUACCCUG